AGUGAAGGAAAGUGAAGUUUUGAGUGGGGAAAAAUCUGCCCUAAUCAAGGUACUGGAGACCCCGAUCGUGAGCCCAGUAGACCACAGACUGGGUGAGGCCAUCCGACAGUUCUGCUCAGUGUCCGUGUCACCUCACUACCUGCAGUGCAUCGGUAGGGCACUAGAUGCCAUUUUGUCAUCUUGUAAUUAACUUUUUAUUUUCUCAUAUGUAUUUAGGAUUUAUGUAAUGUAUUUUGAGGUUCAUGUAAAUAAUAAAGAUUUAUGGUUAUGUAUGGUAUUAAUUUGAGUAUUUAAUGGUUGUUUAUAUAUGAGAACCCUGAGAAAGGGAUGUUUUGAAAACUGAAAAGGUUGUUGAGACCUGAAAUUGACAAA